GUAGCAGACUCGUGUGAAAAUGUGCAUAUACAUGUUUGGAAGAGGAUGGAAAAUGCUGAUUCUCAGAGCUUCUGCUUAGAGAUGAUGUCCACCAAUCCUGCUUAAAUAGCAAACAAAGGGUUUUUGUUGCUCUUGCAGCGAAGUAUUUUGAGAGUGUACGAACAGUCCAUGAACAAGAAGUGACUGAACACGUGAAUUCUAUUCCCUGCCUCAUUCAGUAGUUUUUCUACAACUGAGCAAAUCGUGAGAGAAGACAAGCCCCCUGCAUGCAUAUGUUCUAAAUCAAUGUAGCUUACCAGAUGUGAAGGUUUCAACCCUACUGGUGGUUUAGGCCAGAUGCAUCAGGUUUGUGGAGCGUAACCGAACUAUUGGACGCGCCAGAAACACAAAACAGUUUCUGUCACCUCAAAGGAAGCCAGACAUAAUCAGAACUUUUACUGUCAAAACCACUCAGUCAUGUUUGCUCCAUCACUUCUCUAUGACAACAAUUCUGAUAAUCAUACUUAAUGUAAAUAAAUAGCAUUGUCCUUUCUUCAGCUUGCAUCUUCCUUUCAGUCUUAAACUGUCAUUUUCAGU